GCGGGCUCGCACAACCCCUCUCCUCGACUCCUCCUCUCCCCGACCUCUCUCCUCUCCUCCCAAUCUAGGCGGCUGCGCGGAUCCUUCCUAGCAGCGCCGCCGACCACAACUUCGACCCCGACCAGCGGCCCCCCUCACUCGUUCUUGACCGCUAGCGGCAGCACGCAUAGUGAAACGGCGGCGCCAUCUCCGCUGAUUUGCCUACGACGACGGUGUGCUCGGAGCCGUCCUUCAAGGUGGAACGCGACCACCCCUGCCAUCCAUCCCUCUAGGAAGAUCCUAUGCCACUGGCCUUGUGGCUCUGGAGCCCCUUGUAGGUGCACAACCAGGACGAACGUGCCAUAAGCGCAUCAAGGGAUUUGGGGCACUUAUCUGCAGGACAUGACACCUUCUCCUAUGGACGUUGAUGUCAAACCCUCCUCCCAAGGUCCAAACUUUGUGCUAUGAAGUAAAGGAAAUAUUUCUGGAGGAAACUAAUGUUCAUGUACGGUAUCUUUCCCAUAAUUUUGCAAUGGCGCCAUUUUAUUAAUAUAGUUAAUUGGUUGUUACAAAAUAUAAGGAUGGUUUCCUCUGUUCAGUUUUAGUAACAUGAUGCUAUCAUCCUCAUAGUUUUGUUCUGCACUUGUAUUUAUUAAUGUUCUAUUCAGUUUUCUUGCGUGGAAGCGACCAACUAGAAAAGGCAGGACAGGUUUCUUAAUAAUGAUCAUGUUUUGGUGCUACACACAAGAAGUUGCCUGCUCCGAGUUUUAUUUCAUGAAGCAUACUUCAAUCUUUGAUACAAGUGGACGAUAGUGUUACUGUCGGCCUGUAUUUGGUUGCUGCUGCACGAUUACAUGAAUCAUUUUUCUCCAGAAUUGUUGUGUCAUCCGAGCAUUUUACUCUAUACAGGUAUGCAACUUGAAAUCUCCCAAAUCAAAUUCAUUCGUUUGCUCACUUCAAUGGUAAUUUCAUAGUUUAUAUUACUAUGUAAUUCCUCCAAGUUUCUUUCAUAGAUUCAAAUUUAUUAUGAUUAAAUUUAUAUCAAGGAAAAGUUUUCAUCAUAUUUUUGGUAGAAUUCUCAAUGUUCUAUGUGUUUGUCCUUUUUGUUCCGUCCAAUUAGGCUUGAAAUAAGUUCCACUGUUCUUUACUUCGGCAGUGUAUUGCCUUGUUGUAUCAGUGUGUCGCCAGUCCUCAUCUCCCACUAUGCAUGCGUGUUGCUUUGGGAAUCGUCGCAAAGGAGAUUACAAUGUAAUUUUGCUAGAUUUUUAAUGACUUCAGUUCGUUUGAAUGUGGGACCUAAUAGGCGACACAUGUAAUAGUAUUUUGACUUAUCUACUUUUAGUGUAGGAGGCCUAUGCGAGCAUGGAGAAAACAUUCAAACCAUCUAAUCGUAAAUCCGUCGCACGUACAAUUUUUUAUGUUAUAAAUCUCUAGGUAUCGACUACUUUACGUAAUUCUAAUUUCUAAUUCAACAAUUCCUUCCAUAUUAUAACUCAGAAGUCUUCUAUGUGUAUCAUAUAUUGAGUUUCAGAUGGACCCUAAGAUAGCAUUGGAGCACCAACUUAGUUCCAACGUAAAUACAUGAUUCUGGAGUCCCACAGCUGGAAACAUUUAGUACUUACCAUUUUUCUCAUUUCCUACAGUUUUUAUUUCCAUGUUCCAUAAAUAGCUGAUUAAGUGCCUGAAAGAAACCAGUUGCUAUAUAUAUUUGAUCUAGCAAAUAAGCAAGUACAAUAUACUAGAGUCUAUGAAUGUCUUGAAUUUUGUUGCAAUAUAUGUCAACAUCCAAAUUUUAUUUUGCGCAUCCUGUAGAUUAUCUUUCUCUAAAUCGGCCCUUUUCCAGUUAUGAGCAGCAAUAGUACUACAUUAAGAUUAUAACUUUAGUACAGUUUUUUGCUUUCUAAUUCACGAGUGUCUCUGCUAUUACUGGAGUGCAGACUCGGAAUCUAAGUUUUACCAUGUGAUGCCACGGCAACUGUCUGUCUGGCGAACACGACUGAACCUUAUAAGCUAGCCUCAAGAACACAAAAGUCCAUUCCCUUUGGUUCUGCUGGUCCUCAUAAAUACUCAUGUUGCUUACUACAGUUCCGAGGUAUAUACAAGAAGCGAGGGUGCCAAUCAGGAUAUAGACUGUUAUGCUCAAACUUAUUCAACAUUAUUGCAGAAAGUUUGGUAGUUGCCAGAUGAAGUUGUUGAAGAGGAUUCAAGUAUCAUUUCAAUAAAAAGUAUUUGAUUGACUCUUUGCUGAAAUUAAUUUUAGUACACUAAUGCAUUGACGCACGGGUUGCAUGCUAGGUGUACUGACCUAUUACACAUCUUCGCAUUUAUUCCAGUUAACUUUCGUUCUAAUACUCUUUGUUUUUCUCUUACACAAGAGACAAGAUGUUACUUGCUAUAUCAGUUAUGUUGUCAUGCCACAGCCUGGUUGCUGAUUGGUUGACAUUUCAAUUUGGAUUAUAUUUAAUUCAUACAAGUCUAGCGACACCGUUUUCCAUGCUGAUGUCUUGGUAAGGCUUUUCAUGUAUCGAAUGGAAUUGUCGGUCUGUCACUUUCUUACCGCCUGGCCGGUCUUUAAUAAAACAAGCAAACAAAAAUGAAUUAUAUGAUUAGUACAUGCAUAUCCAUAUUAUGGAGGAUAUUUUUAUUUGAUAAUUCUAAAAAAUUAUAAUCCUUGUUAGCACUCUUAUCACAUGAAUGUGUGAACUCUGUGAGAAAUGGCUAGGUGCAUCAGGCCCACCCAGUUCUUUGUUUCCGAACAUGGUGGCCCUUUAGGCUCUCACCAAAUUCUUUAUUUCUCAAUAUGGUGACCCUUUAGUAGAGGCCUGUGAAGAGUUUGAAAAUGCACCAUGUAUACAAUCUAUGGCUUAUUGCUUAUUUUGUCUUGGUAGUACUGAUUAGUUGUAUUUACAAUCUAAAUUGUUGUAUAUAUUUUAUACCCAGCCAAUUUGAAUAUGUGAAGCAUGAUUUUACCGUGUGUAUAUGAGAUUUCCUCA